UUGGUUGUUGUUUUUUUUCGU
rnacentral:piRNA from 1 species